CCCCCCCCCUCCUCCACUGCUUCCACCCCCUCCCGAGGUCAGUGGCCGCCUGUGGGGUCUGUAUCACAUUUCUGUGGAUUCUGGAAGCUGCUGCAUAACAUUUGACCUAAGUUGCAUGAUCCAGGACCUGACAAAAUGUUGAAAAUGUAAGCCAGAACCUGGAGGAAUGUUGGAUUUGUAAUAACAGUAUUGUGGUUCCAUGUAUUACUAGGAUGAAUUGUAAAAUUGGCAACUUGCAUGCCUGGCAAGUGGAAUUGAGAAAUGCUGUCGAUUUGUAGAGGACAUCAACAAAUAAUACAAGUGCAUUUUGCCCUUACAAAAUUACAUUUAUGAACCUAGAUGAUAUUUCAUGACUUUUGCAGUGAGUACAACUUUCUCCAAGAUGGAAAUUUGUAUAGUAAUCCUUGCAUUUGACUUAGUGCCUUAUCAUGUUGUCAAGUUGCCUCAAAACGCUUCACAGGGUAUACUGUAAAGUAGAUUGACUCUAUUUUGUGUGUGGAACAAAUAUCCACCAUGCAAGAAUUGCACUUCAAUCUGCUCAUUCUUCCUGUUCAUCGGGUGAACCCACUAAAAGCUGCAGCAUUGUUGCUGUGGUUUUUAAUCUGAGAAAGAAAACAUUCAGGUUUAGAAAGUGGUGAAUUUAGAGAUGCAGAAUAAUACUCACCAAACACCUUUUCAACAGCAGAUCUGUGCAAGAAUAAAAUCAGUCAUGCACUGUUACUGAACACUGAAUAUUCAUCAACAUCUGGAUUAACUGCACCUUGCUAAGCAAGGGGACAAAUAGAGGAAAAGCAACAAAGCUGUUUGUUCCGAACACAGGAAAUUGUUCUUCUUCCCAUCUAACGUGGAUAACCAGCACUCGUAGAUCAUACAUGAUACACUGUACUUAUAGGGCACCUACUUUCAACUAAGUAACCUUAUUGUAACGUAAUUAUCUAGCAGUUGCAUCUAAUUAAACCGACUAGUUUGCAUUGUAUUGAUAUCCAUUGUUGACAUUAUAGUGUAAUAUGUGCUCCAAAUUCUAUUAACUGCCAAAGUUUGAACUAAAGCACUGAUACUUUAGAGUUAGCUCAUAGUUCUUCAUAAAGGCUGGUGCAUUUGUAAUUAAACUCUAAUCUAUGUAGUGUGCUACAUGGAUUUCUGUUGUCAUGUAUUUUUUGUUCCAUCUUUGUACUUCUUGGCUGGCUCACUGGGCAAAUGCUCUUUGAGGGAUAAAGUAAGCACAAUGCACAUUCUCACUGAUGGUGAUCAGGUUUUAAACACAAAUAAACAAACAACAAUUGGACCAAG